UUUAUGGAGAGUUUGAUCCUGGCUCAGGAUGAACGCUGGCGGCGUGCCUAAUACAUGCAAGUCGAGCGAACGGACGAGAAGCUUGCUUCUCUGAUGUUAGCGGCGGACGGGUGAGUAACACGUGGAUAACCUACCUAUAAGACUGGGAUAACUUCGGGAAACCGUAGCUAAUACCGGAUAAUAUUUUGAACCGCAUGGUUCAAAAGUGAAAGACGGUCUUGCUGUCACUUAUAGAUGGAUCCGCGCUGCAUUAGCUAGUUGGUAAGGUAACGGCUUACCAAGGCAACGAUGCAUAGCCGACCUGAGAGGGUGAUCGGCCACACUGGAACUGAGACACGGUCCAGACUCCUACGGGAGGCAGCAGUAGGGAAUCUUCCGCAAUGGGCGAAAGCCUGACGGAGCAACGCCGCGUGAGUGAUGAAGGUCUUCGGAUCGUAAAACUCUGUUAUUAGGGAAGAACAUAUGUGUAAGUAACUGUGCACAUCUUGACGGUACCUAAUCAGAAAGCCACGGCUAACUACGUGCCAGCAGCCGCGGUAAUACGUAGGUGGCAAGCGUUAUCCGGAAUUAUUGGGCGUAAAGCGCGCGUAGGCGGUUUUUUAAGUCUGAUGUGAAAGCCCACGGCUCAACCGUGGAGGGUCAUUGGAAACUGGAAAACUUGAGUGCAGAAGAGGAAAGUGGAAUUCCAUGUGUAGCGGUGAAAUGCGCAGAGAUAUGGAGGAACACCAGUGGCGAAGGCGACUUUCUGGUCUGUAACUGACGCUGAUGUGCGAAAGCGUGGGGAUCAAACAGGAUUAGAUACCCUGGUAGUCCACGCCGUAAACGAUGAGUGCUAAGUGUUAGGGGGUUUCCGCCCCUUAGUGCUGCAGCUAACGCAUUAAGCACUCCGCCUGGGGAGUACGACCGCAAGGUUGAAACUCAAAGGAAUUGACGGGGACCCGCACAAGCGGUGGAGCAUGUGGUUUAAUUCGAAGCAACGCGAAGAACCUUACCAAAUCUUGACAUCCUUUGACAACUCUAGAGAUAGAGCCUUCCCCUUCGGGGGACAAAGUGACAGGUGGUGCAUGGUUGUCGUCAGCUCGUGUCGUGAGAUGUUGGGUUAAGUCCCGCAACGAGCGCAACCCUUAAGCUUAGUUGCCAUCAUUAAGUUGGGCACUCUAAGUUGACUGCCGGUGACAAACCGGAGGAAGGUGGGGAUGACGUCAAAUCAUCAUGCCCCUUAUGAUUUGGGCUACACACGUGCUACAAUGGACAAUACAAAGGGCAGCGAAACCGCGAGGUCAAGCAAAUCCCAUAAAGUUGUUCUCAGUUCGGAUUGUAGUCUGCAACUCGACUACAUGAAGCUGGAAUCGCUAGUAAUCGUAGAUCAGCAUGCUACGGUGAAUACGUUCCCGGGUCUUGUACACAUCGCCCGUCACACCACGAGAGUUUGUAACACCCGAAGCCGGUGGAGUAACCUUUUAGGAGCUAGCCGUCGAAGGUGGGACAAAUGAUUGGGGUGAAGUCGUAACAAGGUAGCCGUAUCGGAAGGUGCGGCUGGAUCACCUCCUUU
rnacentral:rRNA from 1 species